rnacentral:lncRNA from 1 species
GAGAAGACCUUGCCGCAGGCGGGGCAGGGCGCGCGCUAGGGCCGGUGAGUGCGCAUGUGCACGUUGAGCGAGCUCUUCUGCGUGAAGCGCUUGGCGCAGACGGCGCACUGGAAGGCGCGCACGCCGGUGUGCGUGACCAUGUGUUUGAGCAGGUAGUCGCGUAGAGAGAAGGAUCGCCAGCACACGGCGCACUGGUGCGGCUUCUCCCCUGCGGACGACAGGGCGGGCCGCGAACGCAAGUUUAACUCUCCGAUGAGAGAUUGCUCCCUCUCCUCCCCUGCCCUGGCUCACCCGAGUGGAUGAACAUGUGCUUGGUGUAGUUUUUCCGGGAGCUGAACGUCUUGCGACAGUGGCUGCACUCAUAGGUAGGUGGCUCAGCACCUGGGGUGCGAGCAGGGGUGCCUGAGGG